GAAAUUCGCCUUCAUGAAGCCGGAAUUGCUAGUAAUGGUAGGUCAGCAUACUGCCGUGAAUACGUUCCCGGGCCUUGUACACACCGCCCGUCACACCAUGAGAGUUGGGAAUACCCGAAGCCUGUGAGCUAACUUUUAGAGGCAGCAGUCGAAGGUAGAAUCAAUGAUUGGGGUGAAGUCGUAACAAGGUACC
rnacentral:rRNA from 1 species